rnacentral:rRNA from 1 species
GAUGAACGCUGGCGGCGUGCCUAAUACAUGCAAGUCGAGCGAACAGACGAGGAGCUUGCUCCUCUGACGUUAGCGGCGGACGGGUGAGUAACACGUGGAUAACCUACCUAUAAGACUGGGAUAACUUCGGGAAACCGGAGCUAAUACCGGAUAAUAUAUUGAACCGCAUGGUUCAAUAGUGAAAGACGGUAUUGCUGUCACUUAUAGAUGGAUCCGCGCCGCAUUAGCUAGUUGGUAAGGUAACGGCUUACCAAGGCGACGAUGCGUAGCCGACCUGAGAGGGUGAUCGGCCACACUGGAACUGAGACACGGUCCAGACUCCUACGGGAGGCAGCAGUAGGGAAUCUUCCGCAAUGGGCGAAAGCCUGACGGAGCAACGCCGCGUGAGUGAUGAAGGUCUUCGGAUCGUAAAACUCUGUUAUUAGGGAAGAACAAAUGUGUAAGUAACUAUGCACGUCUUGACGGUACCUAAUCAGAAAGCCACGGCUAACUACGUG